GGACAUACGAUCGCGGCUGACACAUGUCAGGUGAGGAAAGUCCGGGCUCCACAGGGCAGGGAUGCCGGAUAACGUCCGGCGGGAGUAAUCCCCGGGAAAGCGCAACAGAAAACAACCGCCGCGCAAGCGGUAAGGGUGAAAAGGCAGUGUAAGAGACUACCGCCUGGCUGGUAACAGGCAGGGCAUAUGCAAGCCCCAUCCGGAGCAAGACCAAACAUAGGCUAUACGGCGGCCCGUCGUGCCUUGGGCCGGUCGCUUGAACCGUUCGGUAACGGGCGGUCUAGAUAGAUGAUCGUACACGACAUAACCCGGCUUAUCGUUCUGCC
rnacentral:RNase_P_RNA from 1 species